UCGGAUGUAGUGUAUGGCGCACACCCGCUCGCACUACUUGAGGGAAGGUGACAAUUGUGCGGGAGGCCCGGGUUCGACUCCCGGCGUUCGAA